rnacentral:rRNA from 1 species
CUAUGCGCCUUGCCAGCCCGCUCAGGUGUGCCAGCAGCCGCGGUAAUACGUAGGGGGCAAGCGUUAUCCGGAUUUACUGGGUGUAAAGGGAGCGUAGACGGUUAUGCAAGUCUGAAGUGAAAGCCCAAGGCUCAACCAUGGGACUGCUUUGGAAGCUGUAAAACUGGAGUGCAGGAGAGGUAAGCGGAAUUCCUAGUGUAGCGGUGAAAUGCGUAGAUAUACGGAGGAACACCAGUGGCGAAGGCGGAUUGCUGGACAGUAACUGACGCUGAGGCGCGAAAGCGUGGGGAGCAAACAGG